GCGGUCACGUGGGGCCGCGCUCCAGGCCACGCCCCCUCAGACCUGAGGGGGCGGGAACACCAGUACCUCGCUGGAAGCAAGCGGAUGGAGUUGAUCCAGGUAGGAUCCCAUUCUGUGAAAUAGAGAUCCCAUAACCUGGUUGACUUUAUAGACAAAAAGGGGCUGAAGAAAGCAUACACAAGGAACAGUAAGGCUUUCUGCCUUCCUUCUGAUCUGAUACGGCUGCUCGUGGUGCUGUGCUGGCUGCAAUUUUAUUCUCAGGACUCUGUGACUCCUGGCCUGGUGGAGACUGGCGUUCCAGCACACGGUCUUCAGCAUGAUCCUCAUGUCCUUCAGUGGAUCCUUCUUUGGAUGUCAGUGGUGAAUCUUCCUGUGUGGUGCUCCGAGGACUCUGGAUCUCUCAACUUUUCAAGAUGCCGUUGAGCUCUUGAUUGAUCACAUGCGCACAGGCAGGUUACACUUACUCUUGAGAGAACCAUCUUUAAAGCUAGUGCCAACCGCUUUAUUUAGCUUCCAGAAACUCUUUUCAGUACACAUGCAGAAAACUCCUACACACCUGCCAGGUGGAAGUUUCAAAGUGUUCAGUCUGCUUCCACUGUCUAUAAAAGUGCUUGGAAUAUUUCUAACAGCCUUCGUGAUACCACUGUCUUCAUCAGAAGUGAAGCAGAGAUAUGACGGCAGUUUCUCAUGUUGCCCUUUUCAGCUCUCAUUUGCUGAGAAGUACAAACUUUUUUUUUACAUUUUUUGUUUCUUUUUCCUUUUUAUCGGUACCGGGGAUCGAACUCACGACCGCCUGCUUGCAAGGCAAGUGCUUAUGCCGCUGAGCUAAAUCCCCAGCCCCGAGAAGUACAAACUUUUGUUGAUAUUCUGUGCUUAAGGUCUUAAACAAAAUAGCCUCCCUAGUCUUCUUGCAACCUUUUUUGACUACAAAAGAAAAUAUAGGAACUUUUAUACAUGUCUCCAGACAGGACCAGUGCUGGGGAGGCUGAGGCAGCCAGAGCACAGCAGAUAGCGUUCAGCUGUUGGGUUGUGUUCACCCCACCAGUGAUGCCAGGUUUCGGUUGGUGCAAACAAGCAGGCUCUUUGGCACAUGUCUCCAAAGGCACUCUGCAUAGAAAAGUGGGUUCUGCCAAUUUAUAUCCUGGGAAUUAGAACCAUACGUCUGUCAAUAUGCCAAGUGUCAGCACUGGUCUGAUGAUCUUCUAAUUCAUUGGCCAUAUAGGAGCUUUUAAAAUACAAAUUUUAAGACCAGGACAAGUUAAACAUUAUAUUAUUUAGGGAUACAUCAUAUAUUAUAAAACUAUUUUUAAGGUAACUGGUAAUUUAUAAAUCACAGUGGUGAUUUAUCCAUGUGGGAAAUAGAAACCAUCAGAGAGGGAGCAUUGUUAGCUUCAAAGAUUUGUCUGUUUGUAUUAAUCAGCACCAGAAGGUGGUGAUUAUACUGGUGUUUGUUUCUAAUUAUCAUUAUUUACAUACACAAGGAACUUCUAUUAAUUACUUCUAUAAGUGAUUUUAUACUUUUAAAACUUCAAUUGCUUCUCGGCCUUUUGGUUAAGACCGAGUGUAUUUUUAAAACUUCAAGUGGAUCACAUUUAAGAUCAGCAGUUUACAUCCAUAUGAAGAUAAUAGAAAGAUCCGAGUGUGAACGUCCACUGUCCUGGAAGACAAGAUGUCAAAUUGGUCCAUCUAGUGGUGAACCAGAGAAUCGCCAAGGCAGGCGUUUCCUAACUCUAAGGGAUACAUCAGU